CAACGUCAUGGUCAAGAGACUCGAGGCCGGCGGGCAUUCGGUUCAGGUCUCCGACCUCUAUGCAAUGGGGUGGAAGGCGGUGCUGGACGGAGAUGACUUUCUGAAUCGCGAGCCUGGAGCCAGGCUGGAUCCGAUGCUGGAUUCGAAACAGGCCUACGCGGAAGGCAAGCAGAGUCCGGACAUCGCUGCUGAACAGGAAAAGCUC
rnacentral:misc_RNA from 1 species